rnacentral:lncRNA from 1 species
AUGUUUCUUCCAGGUAUUUUCAAAGACAUCACUCCCUGUGUUACAUUAAACCUCAUUUCUCUGUGGAUCUGCCUUGUCCAUAUUUCAUUGAUCUUCUCAGUGUGUAACUUAGUGCCUGGACUAGCACCGAUGAGCCUUUUAAGCAGGACAAUCAUGCAGAAGCAAAGCCAAUGCAGAAGAGAAGGUCAGAAGAUGGGCCAGGAGGGUAUCUUCUGGGAUUUAAAAUGCCUGAGAUUCUUGUGACUUUCUGGGGGGCUCCUUUGGAGGUCUUUCCCCAGAUUUGUCCUAAACUGGGACAGAGGUGUAGACAAUAAAUACUUGUUAUAUAAUACUUGUUAUAUAAGUAAUUUCCUAUUCCUGUGUAAUUUCCUAUUUCUGCAAAAACUGCAAAUACUGGAGUAAGAUAGGAGAAUUAAGACUCACUAGAUGGUAUGUUAUUGGUAAAGCAAUGUCAAGGUGACAAAUUAUAGCCCAUUUUUCAUCUGUUUUCUAGUUGUUUAUGGAAAGACUUCAUAGAAUCAUAAAAUGGAUUGGGUUGGAAGGGACAUUAAAGACCAUAUGGUUCCAGCCACCCAAUCAUGGACAAGAACAC